rnacentral:misc_RNA from 1 species
AAGUCGUAACAAGGUUUCCGUAGGUGAACCUGCGGAAGGAUCAUUAACGUAUCCUGGCGGGGUGCGGUCUGCCCAGCUCCGGUCCUCGGGCCGUGCAGCGGGCGUCCGUCCCUGUCCAAACCUCACAAACCCACUGUGAACCUUCACGGCGGACGGGGCCUCCGGUUAGCGCCGGGGCGCCUCUGAUGCCGCAUACCAAACUCCAGUUGCAAAGAAUGUCGUGCGGACUUUGUUGCCGCCUAAAACACUAAACAACUUUCAACAACGGAUCUCUUGGCUCUC